rnacentral:misc_RNA from 1 species
GGAAUAAAAGUCGUAACAAGGUUUCCGUAGGUGAACCUGCGGAAGGAUCAUUAUCCAUCUCAAACCAGGUGCGGUCGCGGCCCCCGGGGGCUUGCUCCCGGGUGGUAGGGGUAACACCCUCACGCGCCGCCUGCCUGUACCCUCUUUUUACGAGCACCUUUCGUUCUCCUUCGGCGGGGCAACCUGCCGCUGGAACCAAAACAAAACCUUUUUUGCAUCUAGCAUUACCUGUUCUGAUACAAAUAAUCGUUACAACUUUCAACAAUGGAUCUCUUGGCUCUG